AGCGAACGCUGGCGGCAGGCCUAACACAUGCAAGUCGAACGAACCUUUCGGGGUUAGUGGCGGACGGGUGAGUAACACGUGGGAACGUGCCUUUAGGUUCGGAAUAACUCAGGGAAACUUGUGCUAAUACCGAAUGUGCCCUUCGGGGGAAAGAUUAAUCGCCUUUAGAGCGGCCCGCGUCUGAUUAGCUAGUUGGUUGAGGUAAUGGCUCACCAAGGCGACGAUCAGUAGCUGGUCUGAGAGGAUGAUCAGCCACAUUGGGACUGAGACACGGCCCAAACUCCUACGGGAGGCAGCAGUGGGGAAUCUUGCGCAAUGGGCGAAAGCCUGACGCAGCCAUGCCGCGUGAAUGAUGAAGGUCUUAGGAUUGUAAAAUUCUUUCACCGGGGACGAUAAUGACGGUACCCGGAGAACAAGCCCCGGCUAACUUCGUG
rnacentral:rRNA from 1 species